UUCAAAUAGGUUAAGAAAAUAUUUUUGUAUUUUUUGAAUAUCAAAAACUAUUUAAAAUGAAUUAAAAAUGACCAGAAAAGAGAAAAUUAUUAAAAAAUAGCAAAUGAUAAAAUAAAAAAUACUAAAAAUCAUUUUUAGAAACUAGAAUUUAAAAGAGAAAUAAUGCAAUUGGUCCCAUAUUUUUUGGACCAAUAAUAAAAGAGAUAUGAAUUUUUGAAAUAAAAGGAGAUAAAGAAAAUAAAAAUCAGAAAUACGAAAAUAGCAAAAAUCAGGAAGCGUUGGAUGACUUCAUUAAUUGACGUGCCAACAUCCAAUGG
rnacentral:lncRNA from 1 species